GCCGGGCGUGGUGGUGCGUGCCUGUAAUCCCAGCUACUCGGGAGGCUGAGGCAGGAGAAUCAUUUGAAGCCAGGAAUCAGAGGUUGCAGUGAGCCAAGAUUGAGCCACUGCACUCUAGCCUGGCGACAGAAUGAGACUCUGUCUCAA
rnacentral:SRP_RNA from 1 species